UACAGAGGUCUCAAGCGUUGUUCGGAUUCAUUGGGCGUAAAGCGCGUGUAGGCAGCUUGGCAAGUCGGGUGUGAAAGCCCUGGGCUCAACCUAGGAAGUGCACUCGAAACUGCUUCGCUUGAGUAUCGGAGAGGAAAGCGGAAUUCUCGGUGUAGAGGUGAAAUUCGUAGAUAUCGAGAGGAACACCAGUGGCGAAGGCGGCUUUCUGGACGAUCACUGACGCUGAGACGCGAAAGCGUGGGGAGCAAACAGG
rnacentral:rRNA from 1 species